rnacentral:rRNA from 1 species
UACGGAGGGAGCUAGCGUUGUUCGGAAUUACUGGGCGUAAAGCGCACGUAGGCGGCUUUGUAAGUUAGAGGUGAAAGCCUGGGGCUCAACCCCAGAAUUGCCUUUAAGACUGCAUCGCUUGAAUCCGGGAGAGGUGAGUGGAAUUCCGGAGUGUAGAGGUGAAAUUCGUAGAUAUUUCGGAAGAACACCAGUGGCGAAAGGCGGCUCACUGGACCGGUAUUGACGCUGAGGUGCGAAAGCGUGGGGAGCAAACAGG